rnacentral:rRNA from 1 species
CCUACGGUAGGCUGCAGUGAGGAAUAUUGGUCAAUGGGCGCGAGCCUGAACCAGCCAAGUCGCGUGAGGGAAUACGGUCCUAUGGAUUGUAAACCUCUUUUGUCGGGGAGCAAAAGACGCCACGCGUGGCGUUCCGAGAGUACCCGAAGAAAAAGCAUCGGCUAACUCCGGUCCAGCAGUCGAGGUAAUACGGCGGAUUCGAGAGUUAUCCGGAUUUAUUGGGUUUAAAGGGUGCGCAGGCGGAAUGUCAAGUCAGCGGUAAAAUUUCGGGGCUCAACCCCGUCGGGCCGUUGACACUGGCGUUCUUGAGUGAGCGAGAAGUAUGCGGAAUGCGUGGUGUAGCGGUGAAAUGCAUAGAUAUCACGCAGAACUCCGAUUGCGAAGGCAGCAUACCGGCGCCCAACUGACGCUGAAGCACGAAAGCGGGGGUAUCGAACAGGAUUAGAUACCCUAGUAGUC